UGACCUCAGAUCAGGCAAGGCUACCCGCUGAAUUUAAGCAUAUUAAUAAGCGGAGGAAAAGAAACUAACAAGGAUUCCCCUAGUAAUGGCGAAUGAAGCGGGAACAGCUCAAAUUUAAAAUCUCCGUUGCUUGCAACGGCGAA
rnacentral:ncRNA from 1 species